UAAGUACACAAAGGCAAUGGAUUUUCCUCACAUUUAUUUCAGCUAAAAACGCACCCUAACAAAUAUAAUGCCCAAUUCACAUGGGUAAAAACGAGUGAAUAAAAUUGAGAGCAGCAGAAAAUAUACAUGCUAGCCGCACACACGGUGUGAUUUUACAUCAUGUUGGGUACAAUAAACUUGCUGCAUAGAUAAUAUAGUCUACUGAUACUCAUGUUUAAACUUUGGACCUUUAUGAUUGAAUACACCGCUAUAUAUAUAUAAUCCUACAACACACAAACUUACUAAUGAUUGUCAAGACAUCCUUACUUCACAUUUCUUACGCUCAACGUCAUUCGAAGACGGGCAAACUUAACAAGACAUCCUCUCGCAAAAGCAUCAUACAAAAAAUAAUCACAAAUAAUACAGUUGAUCUUCUGUUCACCUGCCUCACCCAUUUUUCUGAUUAUCUGUUGUUUUUUUCUAAAAGUGUUCUUUUUACUGAUCGCAUAUCUACAUCUCUUACAUGACGUCAUUUGAUGAUGGUGACAAAGCCGUGCACAUGAUUCGAUGAUGUCAGCACAGAUACUGAUGAUGCACCUAUUUGUGUGGCUGUGGCUUCUUAAACUAUACAUUUGGUACUCUUGACCACAACUACACAUUUGGAAGCAUGUUGAACAAUAUAUAGUCUAUGUGCUCACAUGUUAUAUUCACCGACCAUCUGAACUCGAUAAAUAGCAUCAACAAGAGCAAAAUCGUUUCACCUACGGGCAGUAGAAAAUAUACAUCCUCCAUAUAUGUAUAUUAUGUAUAUUCAUAUAUUUAUAUAUAGACCAACAGCUGGGCUAAUACGCAAAAGCUAUAUCCGGGGAAGUCGAUAAAAAUAAGACUUGCUUUGGCCACGGAAAGUGAACGUACAAAAAUACUAUCACUAGUGACUCUUUUGUUGAAAGUAUAUCUUCUAUGAUUGUUUAAUAGAAGCAUUUUUAUCUUAGCAAGAGUCUCCACUGUUUCAAGACUCGAGUCUUUGCUCAGAUAUGGCAGUUGUUUUUUUCAGGCAUCUUUGUACAAGGCAGAAAUUCUGAUCUUUUGUUGACAGCAAUGGCCACAAACUGACGAAGAGUCUGAUAUGUACAAAUUGUUUUUGUUUUUGUAUUUUUCUGAUGGCUCAGCAAAUUUUAGGAAUGUUUUUCUUCGUAAGUACUUUAAGCUUCCAAGCGUUUGAGUGUUUCUGAUGAAAUUUUUAACAGUUUGGUCUUCAUUUUUACGUUGAAUGUGAAAGUCUGGCAUGCCUUAGCACUGGCACAAUAUUGCUACUUCUUUUAGUUCUACUGAAUGCACACUUCUAUACACAGUUACUGUACCUAGCAGCAUCAGUGCCUACACAAAGAUUUAAUUUGCUCUGCCCUAUCCACCCCCAUGAAGACGAGAGUGGUAUGGUCUGUAAUGUUUUCUUGUUGCCUUCAGACUGUUCCAUUGCUGGCCAUAGGGUCCAUUAGGAGGAUGACUUUGAGGAAUUGGCUGGUAAUUUAGAAGUUGGUGAUGGAAUGGAAAUUUGAAUAAAAUUUUGAAUGUACCUUAAACCCUGCACCAACUGACACACAAUAUCAUACUUUAACCCUUUUUCUUCUAAGUACGCAUCACUGUACCCCACAUGUACAGGUCACAGCAAAUGCAGCAGGAUAAGGGUUAAAAUGAAUUGUAAGUACAGUCUCCAAAAAGAAAAGCAUCUUACAAAUAUAUACAUACAUCAGCAAAAACUAACUUUAGUACAGCAAAAUUUUUUUGGCAUUUCCAGACAUGAAGCUUUCAUUUUAAGCAUUUUUGUUAGAAUGGAAAAUAUCCCUAUGGCACUAGAUUUUUGUUUUUCUUUCUGUGGUAAAGCCUAAAUGCAGAGCUUGCUAUACAUGUACGCAACCACGGAGGACUCAAAUUUGGGACAUGAAACUCAGAUUCCAGGUCUCGUCAAUCCGAACUCGAUUUCGUAAAAAGCUCAGCUCCUUGUUUUCGAUUUUCGCUUCGUUUCAAAGACCUGGUUCGGAGAGAAACUAAAGCCUAAAGCGAAGUUUGUGUUUUCUAAGGCGCAAGUGGUCAUCACAGGAUACAAUACUGUCAGCAGCAGUCGAGACAACAGUUCAUAUUAUUCAGCUGUAGAGUAACCGUCACAUUCCAUCAGCACUGGCUCUUUAAAACAAGGCUUUUGCACGUUCUUUGGAGUUUAUCGGACUUUAAAACUCUGCACCAGGCAUAGCUUGAUCAAAGUCUUUCCAAUUUUUGUUAGCACAGUCUCUGAUUUGCUCC